UGGUUCUUUCGUUUCGUCCUAAUCGCCUUUCCAGGUCAAAAGUCGUUAGGAAUAUUGUAAUCAACCGUAUUUUUUUUAUUGAAUAAAGUAGGACGUACUUUUAUCUUAAAUAUCCAUCAUCUAUAUCAGGUUUAAACCCCAUAACAAAAAAAAUUUUAGAACAGAAACAUGUAUUUUUUUCAUUCCUCUCCUUGUUCAAAUGGACCCUCAGAACGUUGUGACACACUUUUGUUGACUUUCCUAGGAGAAAAGUACAUAUUUUUUUUUCUUUUAUACUAAUGUAUUCACUGACUAUUAUAAACCUGCAAUACAGUAUUUUUUAUAAGUGUUUAAUAUAGAAAGAAUCGACUUCAAAGUUUUGUCAACCCAAAAACUACAUUGCCUUCCACAAAAAUAUAACAUUAAAAUUUUUAUGCACGUACAAUACUAUCUAUUUCUUGCCAAACAAAAGACGCUCCCGCGCACCUCAGUCCGUCGAUACAAGUCCUCAGGAGAGGUCACACGCUGCCCAGACAAAAUAUUUUUACGAUUUAAUUUCUGAAAACAGCGUUUGUCACGAAUACAUCUGCAAUAAUGUCGAAGCCGAAGAAAUAGGAAACUAAAGAAGAAAAAUUUGCUAAAGACAGAUUGCGAAAGAAGGUAAAAUACGCAGAAAUCAAGGCGGAUCCUGAAAAAUACAAAUUAGAGAAGGGGAAACAAAAGAGGAAAUACCUUGUAAAAAAAGAAAAGAAACAAGUCCUAAGUAUAACAGAGAUGACGGCACGACAAAAGAGGGAGCAAAGGCGAUGAUGGCGAAAAAACUCCAAAAAAUAUUUAAAUAAGCUAAAAGAGCAGAAAAAAUUUCAAAGAAUUUUAAUAGACAACUCUCCACCCAGUAGUGAAACUGAGGAAAUUAUAAACAUCCAGAUCCUACAAUACGCGACCCUCUUGUGUUACAAGAAGAAUCCACAUCAAGCCAAAGUACAUCGAAGUCACAUUUAGUGCAUCAAAAAACUAGUAUUUCAAGCGCAAUGAGAAAAUUGCGAUACAGAUCUAAAAAAGCAAUUACAAUCUUACAGAAUGAUAUUGACAAACUAAAAAAAUGAGAAAGCGAUUUUAAGAAGACAUUAAUUUAUGGAGCGGAAGUUACAAAAAUAUAAGAUUCAAGAUAGCAUAGAAAAGAAAGUAGAUGAAGUCAUAAAAAACAUAAAUAAUGAGAAGGUACAAGAAGUGAAAAAGAAGUUUUUGUUUAAUGAAACAGUUUGUCGAGGAGGAUCAGAAAAACACAAAAGCCUUCCGAAAAAAGAGGAAAGAGGAGCUUUUGCUGGAGAUAUAAUUGAUAAUUCGAGGUUUAAAAAGUAUGGGAUAUUGUCAAAUAUUACUUUUGCUAUGAAAAAAAAUUUUCUACAAGACGAUGUAAACAGUAAAAUGGCGCCAGGAAAAAACGAAUUUAUUAAAAAAAGGUGCAUUAAAAAAACAAAAAAUAUAUUUAACCGAUAAUAUGAAAAAUUUACAUGCGAAGUUUUGUAAGAAAUGGGGCCAUAUACAUUACUCAGUAUUCUGCAAAUAUAGACCAUUCUCGAUAAUUCAACCUUCAUCAAAAAGAGACACGUGCCAAUGCAAGCUGCACUCUAACAUUGAACUUUUUAUUAAAUUUUUAAAGGAAGCUAAUAUAAUCACAGAAAAUUCUUCAUUUGAGGUUUUGAACAAUUUAUGUUGUAGUGUGUACGAAAGACAUUGUUUAGAGAGAAAGUGCAAAAUCUGCAAAAAUAGAGUCACGACGUACCAGGAAUUUGACAAUCGGAAAACUAUUAUUUAUCAUGAAUGGAUUUUUGAGAAGCAAGACUACGUAGGAAAAGAUGAAAAAAAAAACAAGAGAGUUACAUUAAAAAAGAAAAAGGAAGAUUUACCACGUAACGUCA